rnacentral:lncRNA from 1 species
GGGAUUCCCCUCAGCCUUCCAGGGAUGCUCCAUGGAACAAAGUCAGGGGAGAGUCCUUCCUCACCAUCUCCCCACCAAUGCUUUCCUAGGUGAUUUUUCUUUUAGGUGGCAUUUCCCUGGAAGUCUUCUUUAUGUCAAGACUUGAACUGCUGCUUAUUGAAGCCAUCCUACAAAGAUGAUCUCCUGUUUCCUGGAGUCAGAGAGCCAAAGCUGGAGGCCCAGAAAGAGAAAGUCAUGCACAUAGCAGCAGCACAAAUCUGUGGGCCACUGUGACCCCGGCUCUGUCCCAGGCUUUCCAUCCCCAUUCCACCACCAAACAAAACAAGAACUGUUGGAUCAAUUUGGGAAUCGCCUUCUGCAGCUUCCUUCUAACUGUGGGAUUUCAUUCUGUGGACACCUGCUUCUAAAUAAAUACCUGUGUUUCCCUAAGAGAACUUUUGAUAAAUAAUGUCUCCUCCACCUUUGCAAUGGGAUGCCCAGUUCUUGUUAAGGCUGAAGGUAGAUUCUCCAUGGGGAAUUCUGAAAUGCAGGAGACAUACACAGAGAACAAAAAAGCAGGUGAAGAAAGGAGAUUCUGCAUCUCAAGCAGGACUUUCUCUGCCUCCUUAUGGAGCAAAACAGACCCAGUCCUUUCCCCAAUAUUUAAGCCCCAUUGCACACCCCUGCCCCAAAGGAUUAAAGGAUGGUUCACUGGAGAAGGAAACGGCAACCCACUCCAGUAUUCAUGCCUGGAAAAUCCCAUGGACCGAGGAGCCUGGUGGGCUACACUCCAUGGGGUCGCAGAGUCCGACAUGACCGAGCGACUUGUGUGUGUGUGUGUGUGUUAAAAAAAAAAAAAAGGAUGGUUCAGAGUAUUGACAGCCCUGAGUGACCCCUA